rnacentral:rRNA from 1 species
GACGAACGCUGGCGGCGUGCUUAACACAUGCAAGUCGAACGGAAAGGCCCUGCUUUUGUGGGGUGCUCGAGUGGCGAACGGGUGAGUAACACGUGAGUAACCUGCCCUUGACUUUGGGAUAACUUCAGGAAACUGGGGCUAAUACCGGAUAGGAGCUCCUGCUGCAUGGUGGGGGUUGGAAAGUUUCGGCGGUUGGGGAUGGACUCGCGGCUUAUCAGCUUGUUGGUGGGGUAGUGGCUUACCAAGGCUUUGACGGGUAGCCGGCCUGAGAGGGUGACCGGCCACAAUGGGCCUGCGGGAGGGCCCAGACUCCUACGGGGGGCAACAGGGGGGAAUAUUGCACAAUGGGCGGAAGCCUGAUGCAGCAACGCCGCGUGCGGGAUGACGGCCUUCGGGUUGUAAACCGCUUUCGCCUGUGACGAAGCGUGAGUGACGGUAAUGGGUAAAGAAGCACCGGCUAACUACGUG